AUGUAGCGGACUCUGGGGAGCCCAGGAGAUGGAGAGGAGGACACGGGCUGGAGUGUGCAGGCGGAACCUCCAGUCGGUCAAUCGGUCUCUCGGAUCUCAGCUUCCCAUCUGCCGGAAGAGGAUGCCAGGGACUGCCACCACUACGUGGUUAACACGGCACAUGAAGUUCCAGGCAUGUGGCAGACACUUCAAAGAUGGUGGCUGGGAUUUCCAGUUAGGAGAGGUAUGUCAGGAAGCAAUGUCCCAGGAGCAUCCCCACGUGUCCCCCAGGGUCAGGGCUUUCUGAGCACAGAUUUCCGCUCCCAGGAUAAAGGAAGACUGACUUCAAACAAGCCUGGGGAGUUAGAGAUAGAGACCUGUGGAGACUGAGAGACCUCUGUCCCCAGACCCUGUUUACCUCCCAGGGUCAGUAAACUUGGCACUCCCCCUGACCCCUGCCCCUCUCCAGCUGUUGUUUCAACUCAGGACAAAGCCUGGGAGGGAGGGCGGGUGGCCGCCCUCUCGAACCAUCAUGAUGUCAGGCAUCCCUGCUACGGGCCCCUGUGCUCACAGGGGCGCAGGCUCAGCACACCGCCCUGCGAGGAAUGGGGUGCGGGGAGCCAGCACUAAGAGCACUGUGUGAAGGAGUAACGGGUCUGUUCUCUGAGCCAGAAACCUUGUGUUUUCUGUCAGCAUAAAUCAAUAUGGAUGAAAAACAAAGUGAGUUAAGAACCUGCCAGAGAGCUUUCCUAUCCAGGUCUACCCCUAAAUAUUUACACAAAUUUUCACCUAAAUAAGAAAUGAAUACAGAAACAAGCCUCUCCCAGGGACUAAUCCAGCGGAUAGUUACGGAGAUACGCGCUGCACCAGGCCCUGCAUUCGACACUGGUACACAGCAAGCAAGCCGCCAAGGACCCUGCCUUCCCGGAGUUUACACUCUGGCAGGGGAGACGGUCAACACACACAUAAAUAGCGAGCCAUCUCAGAGAGUCUUAAACGCUAUGGAGAAAAAUAAACCAAGUGACAGGAGGCUGUUGGUCUGACUGGGUGCAGGACGGCCUCUGAGAGGGUCACAUUCGGCUGAGAUCUGAACGGAAUAUGAAAGUCCCUGGGAAAACAGGAAGGGGUCAGCCAGGCUGUGUGGACUGGACCAAAGUGCAGUGUAUGAACAUUAAGUGUGUAUGAAGAUCAGAGAGUUAACAAACAUGCUUCUCCUUCCACUGUAACGAAGCCGGGGCUGAGAACCAGUCCUGCCCCCACAUCUCCAGGGCAGUGACAACACCGUUGCCCACGUGGCUGAGAGAAUUGCACCCCGAGGUCUGGAGUUACCAGCAAACCCCAAUGCAGCGCACCUGGAGUCGCGUGGUCACCCAGCUCCUGAGGAUCUGAAGCUGCCCAAGAUCCGCCUUGCACGGUCACAGGGUGCAACGGUCAGGAACGAAGCCAAGAGGUGCCACUCAAGCCUCCCCUGCUGCGGAGCUCAGAGACAGGCACUCCUCCCGCUGUGCGGUGGGCUCUGGGCUCCAGCCCUUGAAGCUGGGCUGGUCUUACUAAGAAUGAACAGCAUCAGGUGGAAGCUCAUUCUGGGGCCUCUGAGGCUGGGCCACAAGAAGCCUACUGGCCUCCACCCCAACUACCACCAGCACCCUUGGGCUCCCUGGGAUGCCUGGACGCCCACCUUGUAAAAGGCUGACUAACCUGAGGCCGCCUGGGCUGUGAGGAAGCCCGGGCCAGCCACAUGAAGAGGCUGCAUGCAGAGAGAUGCCUGACCGGCCCCGGCUGCUCCAAGCAUCUCUUUCCAGGCACCGGGAAUGGGGAGAAGGAUCCACCCUGGACUCAGGGGAGCCCAACCGGAUGCAAGAGGGAGAAGAGCCCAGGAGCCAAGCUGACACCAAACUGAGACACAGUCGUAGGGCCCGGAGGGGCAAGCCCUCCGCCUCCAGCUGCUCCAGCCGUGCUGGCCAAGGCCCAGGUCAGCACGAGCGCGGUCGAGCCCUCCCUGCUGUGCCCUGCCUGAAAUCCUGACCCACGAACUCAGGAGUGUGAUAAAAUCAUCAUUUUAUGUCAUGAAAAAGUCACGGAGCUGCAACAGAUAACUGGGGCACCAGAGGUAUGGCAAACUGGGCUUUUGCCAACUCCUGAUUACCACGGGACCAGGACCCAAAGCUGGCAGCAAUCACAGGAGAACAAGAUAGCCCCACACCUACAUGCGAAACAUACGUGCACACCCACUGUGUCCUGCCGCUCCCACCAUUACUCCCACAGCCACGACGGUGAUGACAGCCACUACCGUUAAUACUAAGGACUGUAAGCGCCCAAGUAACGGCCUGUGGGGUGCCCCGCAGGGUGCUGAGCAUGCGUGUGGACACGUUUCUGUUCUAUAUACCUGACAACCAGCGACUGCGACACUGAGAACCUCCCCUCGCAGAUGAUGAGGGCAGCUCUGAGGGGCCUCGUGCUUUGCCCAAGGUCGCACGGCCAGGAAGUGGCUGGUCUGAACUGGAAUCAAAUGGUGUGCUUCUAGAGCCCAAAGCUGAGGUCACCCCCCGACUGCAGGGAGCUGCCACCACUGCCCGCCUCCCUGGAGGCCGUGGCGGUGAAGGGGGCUCCCCCUCCGACAGGCGGGCAGCAGAGGGAUCCUGGGCCAGCAGCUGUGAGGCCCUUCAUUCACUCGUCCACAGACAUUAGCUGAGCUCCUACUAUAAGCCAGGCUGGUGCCAGGGACUGGGGAGCAGACAGUUGGCCGGGCAGAGCAUGGGCGUGAGGUGCUGGGAGAUGCUGGGGUAAGGAGG